rnacentral:rRNA from 1 species
UACGUAGGGAGCAAGCGUUGUCCGGAAUCAUUGGGCGUAAGGCGCGCGUAGGCGGCCCUGUAAGUCCGUUGUGAAAGUCAAAGGCUCAACCUUUGAAAGCCGAUGGAUACUGCAGGGCUAGAGUCCGGAAGGGGCAACCGGAAUUCCCAGUGUAGCGGUGAAAUGCGUAGAUAUUGGGAAGAACACCUGAGGCGAAGGCAGGUUGCUGGGCUGAUACUGACGCUGAGGCGCGAAAGCCAGGGGAGCAAACGGG